rnacentral:rRNA from 2 species
AUACAUGCAAGUCGAACGAACUCUGGUAUUGAUUGGUGCUUGCAUCAUGAUUUACAUUUGAGUGAGUGGCGAACUGGUGAGUAACACGUGGGAAACCUGCCCAGAAGCGGGGGAUAACACCUGGAAACAGAUGCUAAUACCGCAUAACAACUUGGACCGCAUGGUCCGAGCUUGAAAGAUGGCUUCGGCUAUCACUUUUGGAUGGUCCCGCGGCGUAUUAGCUAGAUGGUGGGGUAACGGCUCACCAUGGCAAUGAUACGUAGCCGACCUGAGAGGGUAAUCGGCCACAUUGGGACUGAGACACGGCCCAAACUCCUACGGGAGGCAGCAGUAGGGAAUCUUCCACAAUGGACGAAAGUCUGAUGGAGCAACGCCGCGUGAGUGAAGAAGGGUUUCGGCUCGUAAAACUCUGUUGUUAAAGAAGAACAUAUCUGAGAGUAACUGUUCAGGUAUUGACGGUAUUUAACCAGAAAGCCACGGCUAACUACGUGCCAGCAGCCGCGGUAAUAACGUAGGUGGCAAGCGUUGUCCGGAUUUAUUGGGCGUAAAGCGAGCGCAGGCGGUUUUUUAAGUCUGAUGUGAAAGCCUUCGGCUCAACCGAAGAAGUGCAUCGGAAACUGGGAAACUUGAGUGCAGAAGAGGACAGUGGAACUCCAUGUGUAGCGGUGAAAUGCGUAGAUAUAUGGAAGAACACCAGUGGCGAAGGCGGCUGUCUGGUCUGUAACUGACGCUGAGGCUCGAAAGUAUGGGUAGCAAACAGGAUUAGAUACCCUGGUAGUCCAUACCGUAAACGAUGAAUGCUAAGUGUUGGAGGGUUUCCGCCCUUCAGUGCUGCAGCUAACGCAUUAAGCAUUCCGCCUGGGGAGUACGGCCGCAAGGCUGAAACUCAAAGGAAUUGACGGGGGCCCGCACAAGCGGUGGAGCAUGUGGUUUAAUUCGAAGCUACGCGAAGAACCUUACCAGGUCUUGACAUACUAUGCAAAUCUAAGAGAUUAGACGUUCCCUUCGGGGACAUGGAUACAGGUGGUGCAUGGUUGUCGUCAGCUCGUGUCGUGAGAUGUUGGGUUAAGUCCCGCAACGAGCGCAACCCUUAUUAUCAGUUGCCAGCAUUAAGUUGGGCACUCUGGUGAGACUGCCGGUGACAAACCGGAGGAAGGUGGGGAUGACGUCAAAUCAUCAUGCCCCUUAUGACCUGGGCUACACACGUGCUACAAUGGAUGGUACAACGAGUUGCGAACUCGCGAGAGUAAGCUAAUCUCUUAAAGCCAUUCUCAGUUCGGAUUGUAGGCUGCAACUCGCCUACAUGAAGUCGGAAUCGCUAGUAAUCGCGGAUCAGCAUGCCGCGGUGAAUACGUUCCCGGGCCUUGUACACACCGCCCGUCACACCAUGAGAGUUUGUAACACCCAAAGUCGGUGGGGUAACCUUUUAGGAACCAGCC